AUGUCUGGUAUUGGAUCAGUAUCACACUGGAACAAAAAUGUCUUAGUAUAUGCCUCAAUCUUUGCUACUUUUAACUUUGAAAACACAGGAAAAUCUAUAUACCGUGUUAAAAAUUUGCAUUGUAAGCGUGUUUUAAGGAUUAGAUUUUUUCUCAAAUUUGGGACCAGAAAAAAAUUUCCACCUCAUCCCCAUGGCUUGGAUUGUGGUUGGUCCUUUCACUUCCUCUGGAUCAACAAAGAUGGGAUCAUCAGGGAAUAUGUCUUGAUUUGAGAGGCAUGGGCUAUUAUAAUACUAAGCAGGCUCUGAGUCCUCCAUGUGACAAUCCCUUCGCUGAAAUUAGCUUCCUUGAUGAAGUGCUGGAGUCCUGCGGGGCUCAGCUGAAUAUUUCAGUGCUGGGAAUGUAGGUAAGUCCAUAGAAUAAAGCUUCAGAAAAUUAGAAACCCA
rnacentral:lncRNA from 1 species